GGAUACAGUCAAGAUUGGCAGUGCUCCGUCUUCCGGUUCAAUCGGCUGUGCGCAGAAGUUGCUAGUUACAGGAGCCAUGAUGGCGUUUGUAGUCUCCUUGAGCUAGGGCUGUGGAUGAUAUUAAAUCCACUAGCAUCGCCCUAAAUAUAGGCCUGGUUGAUUUCCAGAGCCAUUGAUAAUAAACUGGAACAUCUACUGCACACGAAAAUAUUAUAAUUUCUUAUCAAUAUUGAAUUUAUAGGGGAUAAAACUUACAUUAAAGGGAACAUGUAAUCAGUACCAACCGGGUCAAGUUUUCAUUUUGUUGGAGAAACGAGCGUCUUUUAAUGAAGGCAUUUGCUUGUUUCUGAAUGCUAAGACCUUAUUCUGUGGAAUUAAAAACACCUUUAUUUAACUUGGCACCGGACAAGGACAGCUUUCACAAAGGGACUUUUUUUUUCUUUUUUAGGAGUCAGCUCGCUAGCUGCCGAGCUUUAGCUAGCUGUGCUAGCUAAACUGAGACGGAGACGACACCACAAUGAUCAGAUGUUUGGUUGGAGUCUUUUUCAUUCGCUGACUAACUGAAAGUACAAACUUCGCAGCACUGGAAAACCAACUUGGCAUUUAUCUGCUUUGACGAAAUAUGCUGGUGAUCUCAAUGGAAUGAAUUGGCAUUGAGGAGAAGUGGACGUAAGCGGCCUGGUGUGUUUAUUUUUGUAUUUUCCUGUCCUGAUUUCGCUUAGUAAGACUUGUUUUGACAUUUGGAGUUGCUACUGGUCUCCUGUGAAUGAAUUGCCUGGAUCACCGAGGCCAAGUCGCAGAAGAGGCACCGACGCCGACGUGAGGGAUGCCUGGGUCGGACCGACACCAUGGGACCAAGAGGAAGCCGGAAUCUAGCAUCGGUGGUGUGCCACACCAGACCCAGGGCCCGACUCAUACCUCUGCGGGAGACAUGAUGAGCAAGGACGGCAAGGUGCAGUUAAAAACUUCAAUGUCCUCUUCUUCUUUAAAACGCAAACGGCAUAAAUCAACAAAACAUAAUCGGGAAUCCUUGGCGGCACCUGACGAUUUUACCCUCGGCGAUACGGCGCCUCCUGGUGUCAACACGGUGAAGCCUCUAGUGGAGUACGACGAUAUUAGCUCCGACUCGGACACCUUCUCGGACCCACCGUCCUCCAGGCCUUUUGAGAGGGGGGGAAAUCGACUGGAGCCCUCACCAGACUACGAUAGGGAUAUUGGCGAAGAAGAAGGUAAUAGAGAGAGCAGGGGGCACAGACACCCACGAAAAAAGUCCAAGGACACUAACAAAGUUAGAGACUCUGGAAAUGGAGAACGUGGGUCCAAGAAAAAGAGCAGUAAAGAUCGCGAGAAAGUGACUUCUGGAAAGGGCAAGGAGAAGGAGGCCUCGUUAGGCUCCUCAUCUAAACGCCAGGUGCCGUCAGAGGGGGAUUCCAAACGUGGGGAGCUGAUGCUCUCCUCUCAGGCACCGCCUGCAGCCAGUGUAGGUAGCACUACUUCUUCUACAUCCUCAUCUCGCAGCAAGGAGAGCAGCCGCUCAGGGAAGUCUCGCAAAGACAGGCAACAGCGGAGAGAAGGCCGAGGGGAGGCCAGCCGCAGCUCCUCCCAGAGGAGCCGGACAGAUAGAAGCCAUCGCAAGUCCUCCAAGAGCCACAAGUCAAGCCCGAAGGGGAAGUCUUCAAGUAGGGGUAGCCCACGGAGAAAGGGCACCAGCUCUGCAUUGUCGCCGAGUCCCAGAAGAGGGGCCGGUAGUGAGAGUCCACUGGGCGGUGGGUAUGGACAUCAGGGGGAUGACAGCUACUCAAGACGGAGGGCGGCCCAGCAAAGCCCGAGUACCUAUGGUGAUGUGUCUCGCCGUAGCAGGCAGAGAUCAGACAGCCCCUACGGCAGCAGACACAGGUCCUCCAGCUUUGAGAGGGACAGCAGCCCUUACUCUAGGAGACGCUCCACGAGCCCCUAUGGUAACCGCAGGUCCUCCAGUACGAGCCCCAUGUCUCGACGCUCGGGCCGCUCCAGGAGUCGCUCCCCUCUGCACUACUCUUCUUCUCACCGCUCCUCCUCUCGUUCCCGCGGUAAGAGGCACACCUCCUCUGCUGGAACAGGGAGCAUUUCCCACAGUAACCGGCCAGCUAGCCGCUCCCCUCCUUCGUCACGUCUGCCCCUCAAUUCCAGCUUAGGUGCAGAGUUGAGUCGCAGGAAGAAGGAACGCCUGGCUGCUGAGGCGGCUGCUCGUGCUAGUGGUGGCGCCUCUCCACUUCCGACAGCUCAAAAACCGUCAAGCUCCUCAUCCUCACGGCCUGCUAAAGCUGAAGCUCUACAGCCAGAAAAAGGUGCAACAGCAGUAGCAGCAUCAGAACCUCAGCCCCCACCAACCCAGCAGUUAUCCCAUGAUGUUCCCAAUGCUGAUGAGCCGAUGACUGCAACUCUAACAUCCUCUUCAAACAACUCUCCUGCACCGCCGCCACCUCCUCCACAGCCCUCUUCUCCAGCGCCACCCAAUCCAGCCACACAGGUUCCACCACCACCUCAGGCAGAAACAAACAUUCAGCCUCCUACACCCUCAACCGUGUCACAAACUAAAUCGCCAGCAACAGUUCCUGCUCGCAGCCCUGUCCGCCAGACCCCACUCCACAAGACUUCGACUCUUCCUCCCCUGCCGCUACCACCUGCACUGCUGGGAAAUGCUCAGGACAGCCCAAAGAAAUCCACUCCUCCCCAGAGGCCAUCAAGAAAGGACAAAGAAGGUCGCAACCGCCCUUCUAUUAUUGAUCUGCCUUUACCGCCCACCUUGCUUGGAGGGGACUCUUCACCCCCACAGUUACCUGUCCGCCAGCCUCCUCUCUUACCCCAGACAGCCCUUAAGAAGAGACCAAAGAUUUGUUGCCCGCGAUAUGGUGAGCGCAAACAUACCCAAAGUGACUGGGGCAAACGGUGUGUAGAUAAAUUUGAUAUAAUUGGCAUCAUAGGGGAAGGCACCUAUGGCCAAGUGUACAAGGCCAAGGACAAAGACACUGGUGAACUGGUGGCUUUGAAGAAAGUGCGUUUGGACAAUGAAAAAGAGGGCUUCCCCAUCACAGCCAUCAGAGAGAUUAAGAUCUUGCGGCAGCUCAAACACCGUAGUGUUGUCAACAUGAAGGAAAUUGUCACUGACAAGCAAGAUGCACUUGACUUUAAAAAGGAUAAAGGAGCUUUUUACCUGGUGUUUGAGUACAUGGACCAUGAUCUGAUGGGCCUGCUGGAGUCAGGCCUGGUCCAGUUCUCCCAUGAGCACAUCCGCAGCUUCAUGCGUCAGCUGAUGGAGGGCCUGGACUACUGCCACAAAAACAACUUCCUGCACAGAGACAUCAAAUGCUCCAACAUACUGCUAAAUAACAAAGGUCAGAUCAAACUGGCUGACUUUGGUUUGGCUCGUCUUUACAACUCAGAGGAAAGCCGGCCAUACACUAAUAAAGUAAUCACACUAUGGUAUCGUCCCCCUGAGCUUCUGCUGGGAGAGGAGAGAUAUUCUCCAGCCAUUGAUGUUUGGAGUUGUGGGUGUAUUCUUGGAGAGCUCUUUACCAAGAAGCCCAUCUUCCAGGCUAACCAGGAACUUCUGCAACUAGAGCUGAUCAGCCGACUGUGUGGGAGUCCCUGUCCGGCCGUUUGGCCUGAUGUCAUUAAACUUCCAUUGUUCAACACAAUGAAACCCAAGAAGCAGUACAGACGGCGACUACGGGAGGAGUUUGCACAUUUACCUACUCCUGCCCUGGACUUACUGGACCGAAUGCUGACCCUUGACCCUGCACGCCGUUGCACAUCGGAGCAAGCGCUCUUCAGUGACUUCCUGCAUGAUGUUGAGCCCAACAGGAUGCCACCACCAGACCUUCCUCAUCAUCAAGACUGUCACGAGUUGUGGAGCAAGAAGAGAAGACGUGCACGUCAGAGCGGGGUCGUCGAGGAUGUGCCUGUGCCCAAAGUGCCCCGUAAAGAUGUGACAGGGACCUCCAGCGGAGACAACCCUCGUCCCCCAAACAGCCCCACUGGAGCUCCACCACCUCCUCCAGGAAAACCACCCUCCACAACCAACAUAGAGAGUGAGUUGUCAGGCCUGGCAUCGGCUGCAGAGCAGUUGAAUCAGACAGAGCUGGCAGUGCUGCUAAACCUUCUCCAGGGACAGGCAGACGGCUUGCCCCAGGUUGCUCAGCUCCUCAACCUCCCCAAUCCAGAGACUCUCAGCCAGUUGUUGUCUGCUGUUAGUGAGUCCUCUGACCACCAGGGGGCACCAGAGGACCAGACCCAGGCAGCUUCCAGGUCUCAGCCCCCAGAGCCGCCUCCUGAACCCCAAGAGAUCUCACCGACAUCUGGAGAUCCGCCACUCAGCCAGGAAGACCAGGCCAAGCUACUGGCUCUCCUUUUGGGCCAAAUUAUAAAGCCACAAACCGAGGAGCAAGGCGAUGAAAGUAAUGGCGUUCAGUCAGAGGAGGCACUAACGCGCGGUUCGUCCGCUUCUACUACUGAUUGCAAGGAUGGUGCAGUGACAAAAAGAAAAAAGCUUGGGGCCAACCAGGGGCCUUCAACUGUUGAGCAACGUCCACCCUCUCCACCAGGUCCACCUCCAUCAACUGUUGGAAACUCCCAGCAGGCUGCGCCAGAAACGCAACCCAGCCAGGACAUCAGCCCUGCUGUAGCAGCUGCCUUGCUCCAGCUCAUCUCUCAGCAGGACUCGGAAUGUGGUGCCUCACAGCGCAGCAACGAUCCUUCUCCUACUGUGGAUGCUCUUGCCCACAGACAGUGCCCUCCACCAUGGGUUGCAAGUUCUCCACCUAAACCUUCAGCUGCAGCUGAAGCCCCAGCAGGACUAGCGACUGCUGCUCCUACCACUGCAGCACAGUUUCCCAAAGACCAGGACCUCCGCUUUUCCCAUGGAGCUGCCCGCUGAUCCUCAGUUCCCCGUCGAGAUCAACCUGGGUACCGUGGGACUGGUCCAGCAAUCCUGGCCUAUAAGGAAAUACAGAGGGACACCUACAGAGUAUGACUCACUGGACCCUGUGCAGCAAAAUCAGGAUGCAAGAAAAAGAAGAAAGUGAAGUGAGACGACAGAAGAUGAGAUUCACGGGCAGGCAAAGAGGGCAACUGCUGAGCAGGAGCAAAGUAAGCCAUUUCAAGCUGCAUUUUAAUGUUUCACUUUAAGCAAACGAUUAGGUCAGUCAAACUGUGAGGGAUAUUUCACACAUUAAGAUAUUUUCAUGUGGGCCUUUCAGAAACACAACAAAACUAACGAUUCUGGACCAAUUUGUAAAUCAGUCAUUAUAUCUUAUAUGCUGUGAUAUAUUUCUCGAUUUUAUCUGGAUUUAUAAUUAUCAUGUAAAGUAUCCGAAUACCCAUCUAUUCUACUUGCGUGCACACAGCUAUGAGAACGUGCAUUAAUGCGGGCCUGCGUGGCAUCUCGUUUGUGGAGUGUAAAUCUGGGUUGCUGUCGUAUCUCUGAGCCGUGCUACAGUUUGGUGUCGAGUCUGCUGACUGAGGCUGUUUGAUCAGUGACUAUGUGUAAACUCAGUGAAAGGAGGCACAGACUCCCUCAGUUGCUCAUCUAAAGCACACACUACACAAAGUGGGAUUAAGGAAAAAAUAGUUAAUAUAAGACAGAAAUUGCAUAUAAGUAGUAGUGUUUUCUUGACUGGAAAUGUAAACCUAACUCCCCACCAACAUAUUGUCGCCGAAUGGGGGGAAAAAACAAAACAAAACACAUUGAAUUUUGAAAGCAUUUCGGGUCGUGAGCAAAUUGUGCUGUCUUCAUCAUAUCCUUCUUUGUCUUCUAUCAAGCAGAAUUUAAUGUCAGCCAUUUCGUUUAUGGCUACAUCUUUAUUUAUGUGAUAUUUCAAAAAUUGAUUGACUUUAUCCCAGCAGUGAUAUAUGCUUUACUGCUGCAACAGCAUGCUUUAUUGAUGCCAUAACACCAUCUCCAUUUCUUCUCAGUUUAUAGUUUUGUGAGAAAAGUGCUCUCUCUCGCUCUCUCUCUCUCUCACUCACACUCACACACACACACACACACACACACACACAUUAUUUUUUGAUUGUUGAACAGCAGUGAGGCCAACCAAAGAGGGCUUUUUUAGGAGGGCUUUUUGGAUCAGCCAGAUGAUACAGAUGUGUGAUGCUUUUAUAUUAAGUCACUGCUGCCAGGUCAUAAAAUGAAAAUAAUCUGGAAAAAUUGGACCAAAUUCUAAAUGAUUUGCUCUAACAAUAAUCAAUACCCUCACAGGCGGAUGAUGCUGACUUUUAAAAAUCUUUCCCUGACCUUAUCGCAGUGAACUCCCCGUUAGCCAAAGACACUUCACCCUCUCUGCGUGACGCUGCACUUUUGCAAAAGUAUUUUUCCAAGGUCUCACCAUCUCAUUACCAAUUCUAUUCAAAGCGCUUCAUGAGCUAGGCAACAUUAUUGUCUCUCUCUAUGAGUCUGUGUUGAUCCUGCCUCUUUAAGGGCAGAGGGGCUGCUGGGAAAGCUGUCGGUGAGGAUGGUGGAAGAGGAA